rnacentral:rRNA from 1 species
CACGUAGUUAGCCGGCGCUUCUUUACCCACUACCCUCACCACAACCCACAGUUGCGGCUUGACCACGGGCGAAAGAGGUUCACAACCCGAAGGCCUCCAUCCCUCACGCGGCGUCGCUGCAUCAGGCUUUCGCCCAUUGUGCAAUAUUCCCCACUGCUGCCUCCCGUAGGAGUCUGGGCCGUAUCUCAGUCCCAAUGUGACCGGUCACCCUCUCAGGCCGGCUACCCGUCAAAGCCUUGGUAGGCCAUCACCCCACCAACAAGCUGAUAGGCCGCGAGCCCAUCCCCCACCAGAAAAAACCCUUUCCACCAACCCCCAUGCGAGGACCAGUGAAUACCCGGUAUUAGCAGCCCUUUCAGACCGUUAUCCCGAAGAAGAGGGCAGGUUACUCACGUGUUACUCACCCGUUCGCCACUCAUCCACCCAACACAAAGCCAGGCUUCAGCGUUCGACUUGCAUGUGUUAAGCACGCCGCCAGCGUCGUCUCGUAGCCACGGAGUCAACUAC